GAGAACCAAAAGGCAGUUGGCAGAGGCAUUUGAAUACUGCUCCCCCAGGACCUCGGGCAGUUGAGCCAACAGGCUGAGGCUAGUCUGGGUCUGAGAACAUCUCUCCUGAGCAUCCCCCAGUGUCUGAAUUUUCUCCAAGGAUGGAGCUUCCAACCGUUGGAGAAAACGGAGGACACAGGCACGGCAGCAGCACUCACGCUGCGCUGGUUUAACGUCAGGCGUGACCGUGGUCUGCCCUUUGGGAGAAAGGCAGAGCAGUGCCUUUCUGGAAGAUAGCUUUGAGACCGUCCAACUUGGAACGUCUCUGGACCUCACCUCCCAGACUUCCCCUCACUGGAGACAAGAGGCCUGUUUGAUUGCGUAUUUUUAUUUAGAAGGUCAGUUGCAGCAAUGAAGAAAAGCUGAAAUAAACUGCUUUCUACAACCUUUUUUGCAAUAGCUUUCACAUUCAAGACGGAAGACACCACUCAGUUCAAACUGGGAACAGAUUUUAGAAUGUCAGGGACAGCUGCGGAGUGAUUCUCUCAAAGUCCCAGGGCCCAAAAAUACUUGUCAGGCUGGGAGAACGAGGAGAAAGACGCUGUCCUCCAGCUGUUUGAAGAGAAAUCAACGCCUCCAAAAGGUUCCCCGUAAAACCAGCCAAUCCCCUCCUCUCCGCCAGCCAGCUCUCGGGCAGGCCUCCCUGUUUCCACUCUCCCUGUUUCCACGCUGCAAACGCAGAAGCCGCUCUUGACUCAGCCUCUCUCUGCCCUCUCGUGGCAGCGUGGGGUGGAAAGAGCGUGAGCCCGAAGAGGAUGUGAUGGCGGGAUACCCGGCCUGGGUCAUGCUUGCCCUGCGGUGAGAAUCUUCACUUCACUGAGCCCCACUUUCCUUGCAUGUGUCAUGGCGAUGAUGGCUUCCAUUUCCCAGGGUAGUUUCAGGAUGAAAUAAAGUAGUCCAUGAAAGCA